rnacentral:tRNA from 1 species
GCGGAUGUAGCUCAGCUGGAUAGAGCGUCGGUCUACGAAACCGAAGGUCGCAGGUUCGAAUCCUGCCAUCCGCA